rnacentral:rRNA from 1 species
GACGAACGCUGGCGGCGUGCCUAAUACAUGCAAGUUGAGCGCUGAAGGUUGGUACUUGUACCAACUGGAUGAGCAGCGAACGGGUGAGUAACGCGUGGGGAAUCUGCCUUUGAGCGGGGGACACCAUUUGGAAACGAAUGCUAAUACCGCAUAAAAACUUUAAACACAAGUUUUAAGUUUGAAAGAUGCAAUUGCAUCACUCAAAGAUGAUCCCGCGUUGUAUUAGCUAGUUGGUGAGGUAAAGGCUCACCAAGGCGAUGAUACAUAGCCGACCUGAGAGGGUGAUCGGCCACAUUGGGACUGAGACACGGCCCAAACUCCUACGGGAGGCAGCAGUAGGGAAUCUUCGGCAAUGGAAGAAAGUCUGACCGAGCAACGCCGCGUGAGUGAAGAAGGUUUUCGGAUCGUAAAACUCUGUUGGUAGAGAAGAACGUUGGUGAGAGUGGAAAGCGCAUCAAGUGACGGUAACUACCCAGAAAGGGACGGCUAACUACGG